GAAAUGCGAUAAGUAGUGUGAAUUGCAGAAUUCAGUGAAUCAUCGAAUCUUUGAACGCACAUUGCGCCCCUUGGUAUUCCAUUGGGCAUGCCUGUUCGAGCGUCAUUUGUACCCUCAAGCUCUGCUUGGUGUUGGGUGUUUGUCCCGUCUCCGCGCGUGGACUCGCCCCAAAGUGAUUGGCAGCCGGCGUACUGGUCCCGGAGCGCAGCACAUGUCGCGCAAACGAGUGCCUUGGUACGGCGGCGUCCAUAAGCCCCUCUCUCACGCUCUUGACCUCGGAUCAGGUAGGGAUACCCGCUGAACUUAAGC
rnacentral:misc_RNA from 1 species